rnacentral:rRNA from 1 species
UACAGAGGUCUCAAGCGUUGUUCGGAUUCAUUGGGCGUAAAGGGUGCGUAGGCGGCGCGGUAAGUCGGGGUGUGAAAUCUCGGAGCUUAACUCCGAAACUGCAUUCGAUACUGCCGUGCUUGAGGACUGGAGAGGAGACUGGAAUUUACGGUGUAGCGGUGAAAUGCGUAGAUAUCGUAAGGAAGACCAGUGGCGAAGGCGGGUCUCUGGACAGUUCCUGACGCUGAGGCACGAAGGCCCAGGGGGGAGCAAAACGGGG